rnacentral:rRNA from 1 species
GAUCAUGGCUCAGGAUGAACGCUAGCGACAGGCUUAACACAUGCAAGUCGAGGGGCAGCGCGGUGGUGGCAACACCACCGGCGGCGACCGGCGCACGGGUGAGUAACACGUAUGCAACCUGCCCUCCACAGGGGGAUAAUCGGGAGAAAUCCCGUCUAAUACCGCAUAACGCCAACCGGGGGCAUCCCCGGUUGGCCAAAGGAGCGAUCCGGUGGGGGCUGGGCAUGCGCCGCAUUAGCCAGUUGGG